AUUCUCAGCAGGAGGGUGACCAGGGUUGUGACCAUAAUGUGGUGGCUUCUCUCCCUUAGGUGGUUUGCCAACUGGGGUUGGUGGCUUGUUUUCUGGGAGUGGCUUCUCUCCCUUGGGUGGUUUGCCAACUGGGGUUGGUGGCUUGUGUUCUGGGAGUGGCUUCUCCCCCUUGGGAGGUUUUUCGAAUGGGGUGGGUUUGUGUCCUGGUGGUGGCUUCUCUCCCUUGGGAGGUUUACCAAUUGGGGUCGGUGGCUUGUGUUCUGGGAGGGGCUUCUCUCCCUGGGGAGGUUUAGUGGGUGGCUUGUGUUCUGGAGGUGGCUUCUCCACCGGAGGCUUAUGCUCUGGUGGUGGCUUCUCGAAGGGGGGAUGCUCAGGGUAAUCACCAAGUGAGGGGGUGGUGAGAACCACCAUGCCAAGCAACAACACUAGCAAGUAUGUAGUAGACAUCUUUGGGUUUGGACUCAGACAGUGCAAAACUACGAGAAAUCGCUAGCCCUUUAUAGCGGCUCGGACCUAAUACUGACAUAAUAUAAAAUAAAUAUUAUAUUUUAUCAAGAGAGAACAGAGUGUAAUUUUAUCAUUAAUACCGAUCGAGGCCAAAGAAAGAAGACCCAUAAUCCAUUUCCCACAAGCAUACACAAUGCAGCUGUAAUUUUAUCAUUUACUUUUAUCCCUUGGACCACUGCAUUUUUGUUGAGAGACACAAUAACACAUUUUUAUCUGUCAUUCAACAUUUACAGUAAAGAGAGGGCACAAAACGCAAUUAGAUAAAUUAUGUUUUGCCUGCUAAAAAGAGGCAAAUAACUUUAUUUGCAACAUAAUUAUUUUGGUUUCUAGUGACCCCGGGGCCUUUCGGUUGGUUUGGGAUCGGAAAAUGAACAUCAUAGGGGGGGUUGUGCCCUUAUGGGCAUAUAUAUCUGAUAGCUUCAACUGGCCUUGUUCCUAGAAAGAAAUUGCCAAAGAUAUAAACUUAUUCCAGGCUGAAAGUAGAUGAGAGUCAUAAUGAACAUCAACCUUUGUUCAGUUUGAUUCAAUGCCCCCAUAGUGUUCAUUUCACAGAUCUGAAUGAUUAUAUCCGUUGAAUACAUAAAUUAAUGAAGACAAAUAUGAAACCCAAGAUACAUCUCUGCAUAACAACCCCAACCCUGGUUGCUAUGUUUCCCUUCUUCUAUUCACAUGAGGAUACUGGUUAUAAUUGUCAAACUUGCAACAAGCCCUUUGACACCUAACGUCAAUGGACGAAUUAAAAGUCUCCUUCAAACGUCUAUUUCACAGCAUGAAGCUUAUAAAGGAUGCUGACAACCUUCAGAGUUAGCGACAAAAGAUAAUUAUCAAGGAGAGAUAGUUCCAUGAGAAUUCCAAGGAGUCUGAAUCAAAGACAAAUUGCUCACUCAAGGGUUCUUAUUUUCUUUUAGGUACAAAUCUCUUGAGUGUUGUUAAAGAAACACGUCACUGUCAUUUUGAUUUGCAUUUAACAUUUCACUUUUGUUCUGGAAGGUUUGUUCCGGAAACAUAUCAAAUGAGCAUCAUUUUCUUCUUCGGUGACACAUGGUCGCGAGUACGUGGGUCCAUUUUCAUGCCACUUAGUUGAAAAGUUGGAAAGAAAAAACAUGCCAACAAGAAGAUAGUGAGAGAAGGGGCACUUCAAGCCUUUAACAUGAACAAACAGUAAAUAAAAGAUGUUUCUCCACUCAUAAAAGUGUGUUAGAUAGCAAUAUAACGAAUCACAUCCAAAAUCUUUACUAGGCUCAAACAUAAAGAAGACUCAUUUUUAAGAAAAGAUAAAAAUGGCAUUGUCUGAUAGUAUCCAAUACACGAGAUGGCACUUAAUUUGUACAAGAUCUGUCAAUGCUGACGCACAUUUUCUGAUUAAAAAAAAACUGAUCAGUCAAAAGCAAUGAAGAGAAGUGAUGACAAUGAAUGAUGCUUCCAAUAUUUUCACCCCUUAUAGUGUUCUUCAUGAUUCAGAUAUAUAAUUGGAAAUAGAACAACCCUAUGCCAUACAUUCGUCUAAGUAUGGUGUCUAAUUUUUUGUGUCAGCGGUUGCGAAUGGAGCGUGCAAAAGUCCAAAUUGGCGUCUCUCCAUUUCCACAUAGGAAGGUGACCUUUAUUGACAAAUACCCAAUAUUUGUAGACAUUCCUUAAAUAUCAUAACUUCUUGUUGAUUUGAAAAUCAUUUUUCAACUACCAUGUUUUAAUAAAUAUUUUUUAAAAUGUAUUUUUAUCAAAGUCCACCAUGAUGGAUAAUAUUCACCAUGCAAUAAUUAAUAAAGUACAAACUAAGCGAAAUGAAAAGCAUUUUCUUUGCUUUGAGUUGAUUUUGGUUGCAUUGAGUUGAUUUUGGUUUCAUGGUUUUUUCAACUCUUAUUUUGAUUGGAAGAUGUCAAGAAAAGAAAACAUAAAGAAAAAUUAAAAGGGAAAAAAGAAGAAAAAUAAAAAAAAAUAGAUUUAAAAGUUAAUAAAUUAUUUUUUAUAUUUAUUUUAAUUCAUUUCACUUAUUUUUCUUUUACUAUAUAAAAUUUAAAUAAUUUAAAUUUUAUAAUUAAUUUAAUUACAUUUCAUUUUCUUCUAUAUUUAAAUAUUGGAAAAAUAUUUUACUUAAUAUUUUUUUCUUUAAUUUCUUUGGCAUUUUGGGAACCAAACUUAGCCUUUAAAAUAAAAAACAAAAAAAAAAUGAAAAUAAGGAGGGAAAAGUGAGAAAAGAUAAAAACAAUAUGUAAAGGAUUUGAAAAGUAUUAGUUUGUAAUUACUAUUUGGAUUUCAAUAGUAUUUUAUUUGUCUUUCUAUAUUUCAUGUAAGAGAGAAUUUAAGAUAUUCCCCAAGGCAAAGCAUUAGUUACCUGCAAUCAGUGGUGAUAAGGCUCCAAGCCAAUUUUGGGCCCCAUAUCUUAAGACAGUACAAUUUCCAUUUCAACAUUUCUGAUUUCUCAGAUGUUUCACAUACCACAGAAGAACAUUGUUUGUGAAAAUAUGCAUUUAUGUUGGAUUUUGUAUGCUGUGGGGACUGGGGCAAGGAUCAUAUGGAAGAGUGGUUGACUUUUUCUGUACUUUAACGGUUGAAAUAGGAUAAGCACGGGCAUUUGUGAGGCUUAAUUGAUUUUGAAGCCUGAAAUUGCGUUUCUGUCAUUUUGUCAAAAAAAUGGCAGAUUCCAUACUCAUAUGUUUGGCCUGUGGCCAUGUACAGAUGCCAUUUAGUGACCAGUUUGUAACUGUCAAUCGUUGCGUUUUGACUCUGCCUCAACAACAUCUGCCAUUGACGGGUUUUCAUACUUGCAAAUCAAAUAGUCUUUCGUCCCAUCAGGAAUUUCGGUUUAAAUAUUAUUAAGCAUACGUUUGGCUGACAAUCAUUAUCCAGUUCAUGAUUUGGUUUCUUACCCUUAAUCAAUGGUUUCUAAGUGAAUAUAUGUAGAAGGAAAUCCGAAGUGUAGACAGUAGUAUCGAUAACUCUCAAUAUUCUCUAUAUAAUAGAAUAAACAGCGUCAUAGUGAUCGUCGCCUACAAGCAAGGUACAAAUACCAAAACGAGUGACUCACAUAGACAUCUCCCAACAAGAUGUAGUAGUGACUGACACAUGGACACAAUUAACUCGUAGAAAAGGAUAAGACCAUUGCACAGCAGCUCUUAUUUUACAUACUACUUAUGCUAACCAAAGUCAAUUAGUUGGGAUGGGUGGGAGAUGGAGGUUUGUGCGGUGGCUUGUGGGGCGGAGUUGAUGGCUUCUUUCCAGGAGCUUCUGGCUUUUUCAUCGGAGCUGAAGGAGGCUCAAUCUUAUGAGGCGGCUUGUAUGAGUCUUCUUUACUCUCGACAGGAGGGUGGCCAGGGUUGUGAUCAUAAUGUGGUGGCUUCUCUCCCUUAGGUGGCUUGCCAACUGGGGUUGGUGGCUUGUGUUCAGGAAGUGGUUUCUCUCCCAUGGGAGGUUUAGCAAUUGGGGUUGGUGGCUUGUGUUCUGGGAGUGGCUUCUCUCCCUUGGGAGGUUUAGUAGGUGACUUGUGUUCUGGAGGUGGCUUCUCCACCGGAGGCUUGUGCUCCGGUGGUGGCUUCUUGGUUGGAGGGGGCUUGGGGUAAUCAGCAAGAGAUGGGGUGGUGAGAACCACCAGUCCAAGGAACAACACUAGCAAGUAUGUGGGAGACAUUUUUGAGUUUGGGCUGAUCAGAUGAUGCAAAACUAAAGCAUUACGUGACCUUUUAUAGCAUGUAGCUCCCAAUACCCACUAAGUAUUGUGGGGUCCAUUUGUGCCCUACGGGGUUGAAAACUUAGACAAUUGGGCAAGGACCCACCUGACUAUGGAGGACUAGUGAGGUGUGAUCAUAGCUUUAGGAUUUUUCUUCCUCUGCAGCCGUCGUGCCGUUGGCAUGAUUUUCUUAAUCUUAAAUAAAGGCAUAGUUAUAGAGUUGUUUAAUCUCUAAAUGGGAUUUUAUAUAUAUCUUCAGAUAGCCAUUAAUAUAUUUGAUGAAGAAAGAAAGACAAGUGCAUACAACAUGUAUACGACUAGCUUUCAUGGAGUUCAUUUAUGAUCAGUUUUCCUGUACAUGUAAACCAGGAUCAUAUAUAUGUUUCUGUUCCACAACUAUUUUGGAAUCUUGUUUAUCAGUUUUUAUCAUUAUAAUGUCACAUAGGCUGCCAACUUGGGCGCUAAAAGAACCAGUUGGGCUAGUUCGUUUCAGAAUUUCAAUGUGGAUUCAGGAAUUGUUUUGUAAGAUAUGCGAAAUAGUAGAGGGAUGAAUAGUGUUUCAUUAAUAAAAGUGUCCUGUAAAUUAGAAGGUGUCAUAGAAACUAUAAUCAAUAAAUAACUUUUUUUCCCCACGGGUGGUGUUUCUUGUGGGGAUCAGUGACUGGUUUAGGUUCACCCAAAAUGAGUUCAGACUAAAAUUGGUUUGAGUCAAUGCCGUGUCUCUUUUUUCCAGAAAUCAACUAUUUUAUGCAUUGAAUAAAUCAUACAAAGAAAAUAUGAACGCCCGCAAAACCUAAACCCUGGUUGCUAACUUUCUAUGUUUCAGUUCUAUUCACGCAAGAAUAUUAGUUUAAGUUUGGGAAAAAUGGCAACUUACCUAGUGAUUACUUGGUUUUGGUUUGCGACUAUUUACGCAACCAACCAUGAGUUUGACUUUAACGUCAUGGGUUGAAGCCUCCUACAGGAAGGGAGAAAGCUCCACAGCUAGCUCCAAAAGAGAAUUAUCACAUUGAUAGCUCCAGAGAUUCCCAAGGGGACUGAAUCAAAGACAAGUUCCUCACUUUUUCUUCUUUUGAGGCCAAAUAUGAACCAAGGAUCACACAACCUCAUUCAACUUCAUAAGUUUGAUUUCAUGCAGUUGAACACUGGGUGAAGGCCAUGACAAGAAUUGAUUCAAAAAUUCUAUCACUCUUUUAAGUAAUGGAAGAUUAUUAUCUCUGAUUGGCAUCACAACAGCACAUGCUCCUAGAUCUUUCUAGACACUCCAUGCAAUGAAAGCACAAUGGAUCUUGUAACGAUAGAAACUAAGCCAUGCUACAGUACUAGAUGAUGAGGUAAAACUAGUAGACACGGGUGGCAGCCUAUAUGGGAGGGACACAAGUCUAAUUGAUUUGCAUUUCAGCAUUAUAGAUAGGUAUGUUUUGGAAGAUUUGUUCUGGAAAUACCGCACCAAGUAGGAUUCUUUUUCUCUUUAGUGGGUCCACUUGCAUGCCAAUUAACGAGUUGAAAAGUAUGAGCACCUACCUCGUGCUCGUGGAACCGAAGGUCAGUGAAGUGGGGCUCCUUUUGGCCUCGUGUAAACUUGAUUCAGAAGUGAAGUUAAUAGUCUUCCAUUCAGAUGGAUACAUGGGAAUUUUUCUCUUUUAUUUAUUUAUUUAUUUUUUUUUUGUGUGUGUAUGUCAAAGGAUAAUGAAUGAAGCGCGUUAGCUUGUUUUCUGACUGGAACCGCAGAUGUCCAAAUUGGAGUUCCUUCAUUUCUUACUUAGGAUUGUUACAUGUAUAAACAAGGUAUAAGAAAUAUGCCAACGUGUCUUGAGGAGUUAUUGAUUAGAAAUAACAAGUCACCCGACUGUAGAGUUCCAAGAUUUGAAUCUUCAGACCCUAUAGCAGCCUCUGGGGUACGUGGCAUCCUAUAGCAUAUUAAUGAAGGCUUUUUCGAUUUAGACUUCACAAUACCAAUUAAUAUGUAUGCACAAAAUGGAGAUGACCCCAAAAAAAACAGAAUCGCCAUAGUUUAUGAGGUUAAGGUGAUUCUCCACUUAAUAUCUACAUUAGCUAAUUAUGUAAAUCAAAUGAACUUCUAUUUUUCCUUUUUUUUUUUGGUUUAUGUCAAAUAGUAGCCCAUAAUUAACCCAACCAUUAGCCUGUUUGAAUUGAUUUCACAUGCACAAUGUUGUAGUAGUUCAUAUUUUGAAUUUUAUUUUUACAAAGGUAGUUAAGGAAAAUGAAGUAUAAUAAUUAUAAAAGCAGACUAUAUACACUACAAUAAUUGUUAGAAUGGUAUCUCAAAUUCUAAUUUAAAAUAUUAUUUUUUGUAAAAGAAAUAUUAUAUAGAAUAUUUCCUAAUUUUAUAAAUGAUUAUAAUUAGAUCUUUAUAAAAUAAGGAAAGUUGGUAAGAAUAUCUUUAUAAAUAUUUUAGGUCAUGAGAGAAAGAAAUGGGAUAAAAAUGUGAUGAAGAGGUGAAAUAAGAGAGUUGAUUAGGAUAUAGAUGUGAAGAAGAAAGGGAUUCAAUAUAUAUAUAUCUUUCAAUUACCACAUUAAAACCCUGUGAACCUUUUAUAUGGUUUACUUUAUUUUUAUAUUCCUCCUUUAAUAUAUUUACAUUAAUGCUUCCAUUGGCACAACAAUAACGAAUUACAAAUACAAGCAACAAGUCCCAUGUUUUAUUACCAAAAGCAGGUAAAAUCCACCUAAUAUAUUACAAUAUAUUCAUCCAAUAUUUUAGACCAAUUCUUCACCAUAAAUAUCAUAAUGUGGCUUUUGUUCUUUCUUAAAUUUAAAUUGAAUUGUCUUAUAUCAAUUUGUUUGUGAUUUUUUCAUUAACUUCACUUUCAUUUGGUUAUCUUUGGUUUUUGAAAAGUAUUAAGGAAUUAAUUAACAAAAUAAUGUUAAGAAAAAUAAUUUUCUCUCUUUUGAUUUUGAUUUUGUAGUAGAAAAAUAUAAUUAAAAUUAUUUAAAAAGUAUGUAAUUUUAAAUUAUUUAAUAUUUAGAUAAAAAAAAUAAGUCUAAUGAGUUUAAAAUAACAUAUAAAAAUAAUUUAUUUAUUUUAAAUUUAUUUUUUAUUUUCCAUUAUGUUCUCUUUCUCUUUUACUUUUUCAUAUUUUUUCUUACGAAGAAUCAAACACAACCUCAUAUUAUAUGUCAAGUGUUUGUCUAUAUUUGAGCAAUGUUAGAUACGGCCAUGGAUUCAUCAAACUAAACUGAUUUUAAUAGAUACUUCACAAAUUGAUUUAUACACUAAAUCAUUGGAUAGCAAUGAUGCAUUGGAAUUAAACGUAGGAUGAAGCUCGAAGAACACUGUUUGUGUAACAACAUAUUUAUGAAAUUAUGCAAAGGAUGAGCUUCGGGGUAGUAGUACAAGGUCAUUAAUGGAGAGCCGUGUUAAACCUUGAUUGUGAUUGGAUUCCGUUAUCAGCAACAGCAACCUUGUUUGUAACCUUGAAAGUCAUUCUGUCCACAUCGAAACUCCAAUUUGACGUUUGUAAUUACCAUUCCUGGAGUGUUCCUUGAUUGAAAUUUAAAUAAUAAUUGCGGCCCACAAGGAAUAUUUUCGAUUCUGUGGGAAUUUGACAAGGUUUGUUAGAGAAGACUGGUGACAUGUUGACUUCAAUGGUUCAAAUAGGAGACGUAUGUGGAUUUGGGGGGUUUAAUUGAAACUGAGUCCCUAUGGCUUUUUAAUAUUUGCAUUGAGCAGUCUCCAUGUGACUUCCUAAUUCCCACCAACCCUCCUGUCCAUGCUGUGAAACUAAAUUGUAAUUUAUCAGCCUUUGUCAAUGGUUUCUAAAUUAAAGAUAUAGACCAUGCAUGUACUUUAAUAAAAGCAAAUCUAAAGUGUAGAUAGCAGCAAUGGUGACACCCAAUAUUCUCCAUAAAAUAGAAUUAGAAUAAGCAGUGUUACAUUGUUCAUGAUCACCUACAAGCAUACAAGAACUUCCAUGAAUAACUCAUAGCAAUUGCCAACAGGGCGUCGUAGAGACUCAUACAUAGAACACUAUCCACCCAGAGGAAAGGACAAGACCAGUGCGCUGCAGCUCUUAUUUUUCACAUGUAUACCACCACUCGUAAUAACCAAAUUCACUCAGUUGGGAUAGGUGGGAGAUGGUGGUUUGUGGGGUGGCUUGUGGGGAGGAGUUGGAGGAGGCUUUAUUUUCUGAGGCGGCUUGUAUGAGUGUGCAGGAGGAUGCCCGGGAGUGUGACCAUAAUGUGGUGGCUUCUCUCCCGUAGGUGGUUUGCCAAAUGGGCUUGGUGGCUUCUCUCCCUUAGGAGGUUUACCAAUUGGGGUUGGUGGCUUGUGUUCUGGGAGUGGUUUCUCUCCCUUGGUAGGUUUGCCAAUUGGGGUUGGCGGCUUAUGUUCUGGGAGUGGCUUCUCUCCCUUGGGAGGUUUGCUAAUUGGGGUUGGCGGCUUAUGUUCUGGGGGCGGCUUCUCUCCCUUGGGAGGUUUGCCAAUUGGAGUUGGCGGCUUAUGUUCUGGGAGUGGCUUUUCUCCCUUGGGAGGCUUGCCAAUUGGGGUUGGCGGCUUAUGUUCUGGGGGUGGCUUCUCUCCUUUAGGAGGUUUGCCAAUUGGAGUCGGCGGCUUAUGUUCUGGAAGUGGCUUUUUUCCCUUGGGAGGUUUGCCAAUUGGGGUUGGCGGCUUAUGUUCUGGGGGUGGCUUCUCUCCCUUGGGAGGUUUGCCAAUUGGAGUCGGCGGCUUAUGUUCUGGGAGUGGCUUCUCUCCCUUGGGAGGUUUUGUUGGUGGCUUGUGUUCUGGAGAUGGCUUCUCCCCUGGAGGCUUGUGCUCCGGAGGUGGCUUCUGAAAUGGCGGGGGCUUGGGGUAAUGAGCAAGAGAUGGAGUACUGGUGAGAACCACCAUUCCAAGCAACAAUACUAGCAA
rnacentral:lncRNA from 1 species